GUAAAGAAUCAUUAGUUUAUGUAUGGAUAGUGAGGACUCAGAACAGGAUCUUUUAGUUUAAAAAAUCAUUUGGAUGAGGUCUAAAUCACGUUGAUUGUUUUUAUUUCUUUGUGAAAUUAUUAAGAUUUGGUUGAAGAGUUUAUUCUCCUUGUUUAUGUGUCCAAAUCUUUUAUUAUAAAAGUUAUUGGGCAGAUACAAUUAAAAGAAAUUAAAAUCAAAAUGGUUAGCUUUGAUGUUUUUCAAGCCCCUAGCUGAUGGAGAAUGUGUCCAAAUGAUUAGAUGCAUUUGUUGGGAAUACUGGCUAGCUUUGGGCUGAUUUAUGGCAUAUCCUUCAGCUGAUUUUAAUUUUUUCAAUGGCCACAUUA
rnacentral:misc_RNA from 1 species